UGUCCAUGAAAUACAGCCAGACCAACACUAAACCAUCCUACAUACCUAGAAACUGGAGGAUUAACACAACAAUCUGCACAACCUGAACCACGGAAUUCAGCAGGUAUGCGGCACAGAGAGGUGAACUUCGGGAGCAAGAAGCUGCAAAAGGUCACUCAAGAUGUUCUUCACCAAUACCCAGAUGCUCACCACUUCAAUGACAAGUCAUGGUCCUGCUAAUAGAAAAAAGGGGGGUGAGAUGUGGAGUUAUUUUUAGAGUGUAUUAUAAGCCCUGGCAAAGUGAAUGGGGUAAUUGCUGAAACAUCAGUGAUGUUCUGGUCUCAAAUCUGUUGAACGUGAUAGCACUAUGAGAUAUAGAGCCUCAUGAUCUCCCAGGAGCCAGUUAGGAAACAGACCCACUGUAAUUGCCUAGCAGUCCUUGAGACUGCACAUCUUCCCUGCAUGCUUUCACAUAAACACCAGAUGUGUGUUUGAUCUAUGUCUGGAGGCAAACAUUAUACCAGGUGAACAUGAAAUAAAGGCUAUGUACAGUUUUCUGCUGCUGCUGUUUUGCUAGCAGAAGCAGCCCUGCAUGUCCACUCAA